GGUUCAUUAGGUCGUAUGAAUAAAACCGAGUACUUGCUCAUGCUCAACUCGUCUUGAGCAAAGUAAAGUCUCUAAGCAUUUACUUAAAACCGUAUGAAUAAAACAAUACUUUACUCAGAGGUGCAAGAAGUCCAGCGGUGCAAAUCGUACACACCGAAGUGCCUUUCCGGGAGUUAACUGUUUUUUUAGUUCGCUGCCACUUGCUGAUGGGGCCAAACUCCCCGGUGAAACUCAGCAUAACUUUUGCCGGAAAUGCGUCGACAGCUACGACAAAGCAGGUGACCGUGUCUUUCAGUGGAAUUGGUGCACAGGGACAAACCUGAGUUCACCAAACAACAUCAAUCGGAGUCCCAAGGGGGUAGAUCAGCAACGGCAUCAGAAUCCAAACCAGCAGCAACUUUAGCAUCAACAAUACAAGGGAGUUAGAUUCCGUGCGGCAAAAUGGAUCCACUGUUCAUUCAAGGGCAAGCCAUCAAUAGGAAGAACAGAACAAACUGGCGAAAUGUUUCGCGGACAAUUCGGCUAUCAUGAGUGAGUUCAACACGACAUAGAGGACCGGAAUGACAACCACCAGAGAAGCCAUAGGACAAAGCACUGGCGUUGCUCAAACAGAGAUGUCGUCGACGUGAAAUACCUCGGCCAUUCACAGGAACAUGGGCGAAACCAAAUAGGGCACGCAUUCCACCCUUCUAUGUCCGUUGAAAAAAUACAUAAACUAUGCUACUUAA